rnacentral:rRNA from 1 species
GACGAACGCUGGCGGCGUGCCUAAUACAUGCAAGUAGAACGCUGAAGGCGGAGCUUGCUUCUCUGGAUGAGUUGCGAACGGGUGAGUAACGCGUAGGUAACCUGCCUGGUAGCGGGGGAUAACUAUUGGAAACGAUAGCUAAUACCGCAUAAUAGUAGAUGUUGCAUGACAUUUGCUUAAAAGGUGCAAUUGCAUCACUACCAGAUGGACCUGCGUUGUAUUAGCUAGUUGGUGGGGUAACGGCUCACCAAGGGGACGAUACAUAGCGGACCUGAGAGGGUGAGCGGCUUCACUGGGAUGGAGACACGGCCCAGACUCCUACGGGAGGCAGCAGUAGGGAAUCUUCGGCGAUGGACGGAAGGCGGACCGAGCAACGCCGGGUGAGUGACGAAGGUUGUCGGAUCGCAUAGGUCUGUUGUAAGAGAGGAACGAGUGUGAGAGUGGAAAGUUCACACUGUGACGGUAUCUUACCAGAAAGGGACGGCUAACUACGUG